rnacentral:rRNA from 1 species
UACGUAGGGUGCAAGCGUUGUCCGGAAUUAUUGGGCGUAAAGAGCUCGUAGGUGGUCUGUCGCGUCGGCUGUGAAAACUCGGGGCUCAACCCCGAGCCUGCAGUCGAUACGGGCAGACUUGAGUGCGGUAGGGGAGACUGGAAUUCCUGGUGUAGCGGUGAAAUGCGCAGAUAUCAGGAGGAACACCGGCGGCGAAGGCGGCUCACUGGCCCGUUACCGACGCUCAGGCGCGACAGCGUGGGGAGCAAACAGG